rnacentral:rRNA from 1 species
CUAUGCGCCUUGCCCAGCCCGCUCAGGUGUGCCAGCCGCCGCGGUAAUACGUAGGGAGCAAGCGUUGUCCGGAAUUACUGGGCGUAAAGGGCGCGUAGGUGGGCGCUUAAGUCAGGUGUGAAAACUCCGGGCUCAACCUGGAGACUGCACUUGAAACUGGGUGUCUUGAGGGCAGGAGAGGAAAGUGGAAUUCCUAGUGUAGCGGUGAAAUGCGUAGAUAUUAGGAGGAACACCAGUGGCGAAGGCGACUUUCUGGACUGUACCUGACGCUGAGCGCGAAAGCGUGGUAGCGAACGGG